rnacentral:rRNA from 1 species
GACGAACGCUUGCGGCGUGCUUAACACAUGCAAGUCGAACGGAAAGGCCCUGCUUUUGUGGGGUGCUCGAGUGGCGAACGGGUGAGUAACACGUGAGUAACCUGCCCUUGACUUUGGGAUAACUUCAGGAAACUGGGGCUAAUACCGGAUAGGAGCUCCUGCUGCAUGGUGGGGGUUGGAAAGUUUCGGCGGUUGGGGAUGGACUCGCGGCUUAUCAGCUUGUUGGUGGGGUAGUGGCUUACCAAGGCUUUGACGGGUAGCCGGCCUGAGAGGGUGACCGGCCACAUUGGGACUGAGAUACGGCCCAGACUCCUACGGGAGGCAGCAGUGGGGAAUAUUGCACAAUGGGCGGAAGCCUGAUGCAGCAACGCCGCGUGCGGGAUGACGGCCUUCGGGUUGUAAACCGCUUUCGCCUGUGACGAAGCGUGAGUGACGGUAAUGGGUAAAGAAGCACCGGCUAACUACGUGCCAGCAGCCGCGGUGAUACGUAGGGUGCGAGCGUUGUCCGGAUUUAUUGGGCGUAAGGGCUCGUAGGUGGUUGAUCGCGUCGGAAGUGUAAUCUUGGGGCUUAACCCUGAGCGUGCUUUCGAUACGGGUUGACUUGAGGAAUUUAGGGGAGAAUGGAAUUCCUGGUGGAGCGGUGGAAUGCGCAGAUAUCAGGAGGAACACCAGUGGCGAAGGCGGUUCUCUGGGCCUUUCCUGACGCUGAGGAGCGAAAGCGUGGGGAGCGAACAGGCUUAGAUACCCUGGUAGUCCACGCUGUAAACGGUGGGUACUAGGUGUGGGGUCCAUUCCACGGGUUCCGUGCCGUAGCUAACGCUUUAAGUACCCCGCCUGGGGAGUACGGCCGCAAGGCUAAAACUCAAAGGAAUUGACGGGGCCCCGCACAAGCGGCGGAGCAUGCGGAUUAAUUCGAUGCAACGCGUAGAACCUUACCUGGGUUUGACAUGGAUCGGGAGUGCUCAGAGAUGGGUGUGCCUCUUUUGGGGUCGGUUCACAGGUGGUGCAUGGCUGUCGUCAGCUCGUGUCGUGAGAUGUUGGGUUAAGUCCCGCAACGAGCGCAACCCUUGUUCACUGUUGCCAGCACGUUAUGGUGGGGACUCAGUGGAGACCGCCGGGGUCAACUCGGAGGAAGGUGGGGAUGACGUCAAGUCAUCAUGCCCCUUAUGUCCAGGGCUUCACGCAUGCUACAAUGGCUGGUACAGAGAGUGGCGAGCCUGUGAGGGUGAGCGAAUCUCGGAAAGCCGGUCUCAGUUCGGAUUGGGGUCUGCAACUCGACCUCAUGAAGUCGGAGUCGCUAGUAAUCGCAGAUCAGCAACGCUGCGGUGAAUACGUUCCCGGG